CCCCUCUCAGGAUCACACCUGGAGAGUUUCCAGUACUCUACCAGUCUCCGCCACGGGAGGGAAAGUCAAGCAGAGGCGUACCCACUCCAUUUCUAGCUUGGACAGUGGCUAGAGCGGAAGGCAAUCUGCUACAAGU
rfam:Ornithorhynchus anatinus chromosome 4, whole genome shotgun sequence.